GAUGAACGCUGGCGGCGUGCUUAACACAUGCAAGUCGAACGGGAAACCUUUUAUUGAAGCUUAGGCAGAUUUAGCUGGUUUCUAGUGGCGGACGGGUGAGUAACGCGUGGGUAACCUGCCUUAUACAGGGGGAUAACAACCAGAAAUGGUUGCUAAUACCGCAUAAGCGCACAGGACCGCAUGGUCCGGUGUGCAAAACUCCGGUGGUAUAAGAUGGACCCGCGUUGGAUUAGCUAGCUGGCAGGGUAACGGCCUACCAAGGCGACGAUCCAUAGCCGGCGUGCGAGAGUGAACGGCCACAUUGGGGCUGAGACACGGCCCAGACUCCUACUGGAGGCAGCAGUGGGGAAUAUUGCACAAUGGGGGAAACCCUGAUGUAGCGACGCCGCGUGAAGGAAGAAAUAUCUCAGUAUGUAAACUUCUAUAAGCAGGGAAGAUAGUGACGGUACCUGACUACGAAGACCCGGCUAACUACGUG
rnacentral:rRNA from 1 species